GAUAAAUUACAAUUGCUGCAGAGAACAAACACCCAACUGAGUGGAAAACGUGGUUACAAUUUACAAAUCUAUUUAUCAUCACUUUCAACGACUAAGAUCCCUUGAAGCUGUCCUCAGACAACCCUCAACCAUCAUCACCUCUGGAUGUUCUACCACCACCAGACCUGCAGUAAUUCAGCUGACCUCUCCCUCUCCAGCACACAACUAAGAUCUGCAGCUUCUGGUGAACCGUCUAAGAGGAAGACAAUUAACAAAGUCAGAUAUGGCAACUGCUGGAGACAGACGUAGCAAGGAAAUUGGCCGUGAUACAUCACCUUGUCUCCAACACAGUCAAGUUGCUACUCCUCUGGAUAUCCCAUUGUUCCUCCACUGGACCUAAUUAAACACUGUGAGUAUGAAAUUAUUUUCACGGGUGUAGCUGUAGGAAAUGUAAACUGUUCUGUUCUAAUGUUGCAUUAAUAUAGAACUAUUCCUGAAAAUACUGUAUAUGUAAAAGUGUGUUUCUACGUCAUAUAUUGUUUCAAGCCACUCCUUGCAACAAAUCUGAUGUGAGAUUCAUGUGAGAUGUAUUAUAUUUUGUAGGUUAGUAUAAUGAGUCAGGUUUUGUUCCUCAAGAAUCAAGAGGGUAUAUCAUUAAUUGAAAAGACAUUUGAACAGCAGUAAAUAUAGCAGAUUGUAACUAACAUAACACUUGGCCUCCAGUUCUCCUUACUGUACCUCCCUAAAGCUGAAGUGUGCAGUAGUUGAUGAAGAAUUCCCCAUGGAAUACACAAUUAAUGAUUGAUGAUCGAAUACUGAGGAAGUGAAGUUGUACUGAUAACAAUUAGAAGUGUAAUUUCUCAAUGAAACCCUGUUUUGAAUCCAGUGUCUCUUAUGGGCUGCAUGUACUGUAUUUGUGCCUGUCUGGACAAUUGUUCCUAGAUGCAGUUUGUUGAAAUUUGAGGCUGUCUUGACUGCUAGCAAUAUGGCUGUAAUCAGCUUUUUAGAAUGCUUUACAUUGUACACCCUAACAGGCCUUUGAACCCUGUUACACCUGAACAAAUUAUAGUGCGCCCACUUAAUACUGUAAUAAACUGUACUGCAGUUUGAGGGGUAAGUGUGGGUUGUAGGAGGACGGGUUACUUGGACUUACAGUCAGUGAACCAUCAUUUAAUUAUUGAGAUUGAGUGCAAUUUUUUUUAUGCACCUUUCCCACAAUUGUUUUAAUAUCAUGAUUUUUUUGUAAUUAUUUUUUUAAUUUAACCUUUAUUUAACUAGGAAAGUCAGUUAAGAACAUUCUUAUUGACAAAGACAGCCUACUUGUAAAGUCCCCCCCCCCCCCCCCCCCCAUACAUCUUUUAUAGUGAGAACCAUGAUACUUUCAACUGUAAUGUGUGACGUAAGUGUAUCUAGUUAUUUGACUUCAACAACAUGUGCUGUGUGGCUAUGUAGGUUGAUGGAAGCUCAAUCCUACAAUUAACUAAUUCUACAUUUCUUUCCUUGGGCAAGUUUUUACCAGAAUAGUAACUGUUAAGUUGAAAUGAUUCGACUGCACCUGUAGGCAAUUUCAAACUGCCUGUCUCGACUUCCGCCGAAGUUGGCUCCCCUGCCUGUUCGGGCGGUGCUCGGCGGUCGUCGUCACCGUCCUACUAGCCGCUACCGAUGCCUUUUUCGUUUGUCUGUUGGUUUUGUCUUAGUUUAACCUGUGUGUAUUUUAGUUUAAUUAGUUUAAUUAGUUUAUAUGUAAUAGUUUGUCCCGCCCUUGUUUUGUGCGGGAUUGUUUUUUGUUACUCUGGUUGUGGUUUUCAUGUUUGUAUUCUCCGGACUGUUUGGCCCUGUGUUUGGGCUGGUCUGUUUUAUGCGCCCUGUAUGUUGGCGUGACCGUUUUUUGGCCGGAGAAUAAAUCACGAUUUACUGAA